CAGCUUCCCGCUGCCGCCGCAGGCUUCCCCCUCACCGGACGCACACACCGGGCAGCAGUGGCACACGUCGAGGCCCUUUCCCGCCGAACAGUCCGCUGGUAACCGGGGACACAUCGACUUGUCACACUGAGAGGGACAUCCGACAACAAACCGGCUGGAGAGUUGCGCAUCCGCAGGGAAAAUGUCUGUCCGACAGUUAAUGACCCUGUUUACAGAACAGCUGACAUCAGGUGGGAUUAUCCAGAUCAGAAACAGUCAAGAAUCAAGUUCAUCUGCAAGGAAAAUAAUUUAAUGAAAUAGUAUCAGCAUCAUGCUCUAGAUGGAGCUUUUACCCUUACAAACACCAGCAGUGGCACCAGCGUGUCCAUCAGUAGAGUCUCGACAUGAUGAUGGUGUUUACUGGUGUGGAGAGAAAGAAGAGGAUGGAAGUUCCCGAGCUGGACUCGAAAGUCACCAGCUGGAGAAAACCUUACGUUCUUUUGCAACGAUCUUAUAAAAUCCAUCUGUAAGGGAGAAGAUCCAACUACAUGUCAGCUUCUUGUAAACACAACAAAACUAAAUAUGGACCACAGAUUUUUUUUAUGAAAGAAGCUGAAACAAACAAAUUCACCAUAACAAUAAGAGAAGUAACAACAGCUGAUUCUGGGUGGUACUGGCGUGGAGCUGAAAACACCAACGAGCAAAACAGCAAAAUAUUCACCCGCAGAGUGUCCUUAAAUGCUGGCGAGUUGUGAUGUUUUAAUCUGACCCAGGUUCAGCUGGUGGAGUUACUCUGAUUAAUGCCGAGUUCACAUUUUUCACACUGGCUCAAACAUCAGAGAGGAUGGCAGCUGGAUUAGACACAUCUGGAGAGGUUUAAAGUUGUUGUUUUCCUUCAGGACCAGCGGUCACAUCUCCUGUCACUUCUAAGAGUCCAAUUAAAACUGGCGACUCAAAGAAAGAAACAAAUGUAAUGGUCUGUGGGAUCCUGUUGGUGCUGCUUCUGGUUAUUAUCACAGCAGUAAAAAUUGUCUACAAACGGAAGAAUUUACAUCACUUCCUUGUGUACAACAUAAAAAUCCUACAUAUGACGUUCAAACAUGAGGUCACGAUGUUUUAAUGUUUUACUGUGAUAAUUGUUUUAGCUCAUUUUCAGGUUUAAAAACAAAAAGUAAGAGAAAAUGACAGUCAUUUUAAGGAUCAGAGGUUUGUUGCAUCAGUUCCCCAUAAUAGAAACGUGAUAAAAAAUUAACUUUAGCUCUUUGUUCAUUUGAACUGACAGGAAAUCCGUGUUUGAAACCAGCUGAGAUCAGAGCAGUGCAUCAGCAGCCUGGCCGGUGCUCAGGUUUUUAACUUAUGUUCUCACGGAUGUUCGGACUAAAUUACUGAUCACAUCAGGACUCUGUGUAUGAAGAGAUACCGGAGCAGUCUCAGACUCCAGUGAACAGCAUUUAUGUCACAGCUAACUUUGACGACGCGCCUUGCUGCAUUACUCCACCAUCAACCUUCCAAGCGGCUCAGACGGAGGCGUUUUGUAUCCGAGACCCGGUUCUGCUUCCUGCCAAUAUGCACUUUUAGACUGCAUCUUGGGUUCUGCCGAUGGAGGAUCCAGACCCACAGAACCACCUGUUCACUCCACAGUCCAGAAGUCACACAGAAGUCACACACUCCACAGUCUCUGAUUUCUGCCUGAGCUUUCCUGUUUGGUUCAGUCGUGGACGACACAGCAGGUCUGUGAUUUACUGGAAACUGUUUCAGAACAGUGCUAUGCUUCACAGUGUUAUGGACGUAAUAUUCACUUUAGAAGUGUGUGUGUGUGUGUGUGUGGGGGG